GGGCAGAUCACGAGGUCAAGAGAUUGAGACCAUCCUGGCCAACAUGGUGAAACGCUGUCUCUGCUAAAAAUACAAAAAUUAGUUGGGCAUGGUGGUGCGCGCCUGUAGUCCUAGCUACUUGGGAGGCUAAGGCAGGAGAAUUGCUUGAACCUGGGAAGUGGAGGUUGCAGUGAGCUGAGAUCACGCCACUGCACUCCAGCCUGGCAAAAGAGUGAGACUCUGUCUCAAAAAAAAUUUAUUAUUAUUAUUUUUUUAUUUUUUUUAGGAUAUGGGGUCUCACUAUGUUGCCUAGGCUGGAUUCAAACUCCUGGGCUCAAGCAAUCCUUCUGCCUCAGUCUCCUGAGUAGCUGUGACUACAGAUGUGCACCACCAUGCCCAGCUUUUAUAUUAUUUUUAAAAAUGUCUAUACACGUAUUCUCUUCAUGAAGAUGCCUUUUAGGAAUUAAAAUUUCUGAUCAUAUACCUGAAUGAGACCACUCUUCUGGCAGUCUCUCUGUAUUAGUCUGUUUCCCUAUUAAAUAUUUUUCUUCAUUUUCUCCCAAGGGAGGUUUCUCUUGUAGCCGUGUAGUCAGUGGGAUGAAAUACUAUGAGAUAAUUACUUGAAAUGAUUUUCAUAUCCCCCAAUCUAGAGCCUAGAUAAGCCCAAUAACUUAGUAAUUUUUUUUUAAAUUAGAAAAUUGUAAUUUUUUUGUCAAAGUAAUUCUUGCACAUGUUGAAAGCUGAGUUGUUCAGAAGGCUUCUCUAUGCCAUCGCACCACCUUCAUUAGUGGUAGCUCUGUGCCUCUCAGUAAUGGCCUUAAACCACUCUUUGUUGAUUCAUUGACUUUAGAUAUUAACUGUUGAUGUCCUGCAAAGACAGAUGGGGACUUGGCUCAUUUUCACCACCCACCGCACCUCUCACGCCUUCUUCACUGUUUUUGUACUCCUACUUAUAAUUUUAUUACUUUUUUUUUUUUUUUAAGAGAUGGGGUCUCACCAGCUUGCCCAGGCUGGUGUCAAACUCCUGGGCUCAAAUGAUCCUCCCACCCCAGCCUCCCAAACUGUUGGGAUUACAGGUGUCAGCCACUGCACCCAGACUGUAAUUUUAAGUUAAUACCUGCAUGUCUCCACCCUUGCUCUUUCCAUUUUCAGCAGCCUCUCGCCCCUUUGUAAGAUAAGAUGUUGCUGCCUGUCUCCUUCACGCUACCUUUUCUCUCACAUUGUCCAGUUAUAACAUAGCUGUUGCAUAACUGGCAUCAGUUAUCUGUGCUAAGCAUCAACUCUAAUUAUUGAAAACCAGGAGACCUGUUGGCAUUAGAGUGACUCUUUACAGGGCCAAGAGGAUGCCCUAAGGACAUCUCCUGUCUCUUUCCUCCAACAUCAUAAACCUGUGCCCCUGGAGGAACACAUUUCUAGAGUCAAACUUGAGUGGAAUUCUCUGCACUCUAUUUCACUGGCUCAAAAUCAUGGCAUUUUAAAAUUGACUUCGUUGUUAAUCCUAUCUACCUAGAAAAUAUGUUUUUAACACUUUACUUGGCUUGCUAAUUUCAUCCUUCUUUCUUUACCAUCUAUUCACUCAGAGUCAGUAACUACAACACAAAUGUACUGAGCACCUUCAACAUCCAGGCCCUGAGCUGAAUGCUGGGGAAGGAGUGGGAAGCAGGAUGUGGUCCCUGCUGUUUGUAGGCUGCAGGGCAGAAGCUUGCAUCCAAGGGUCCUGAGUGUAUCCUAGAGAUGCGACCAGUUCACAGUUGGAUUUUAAAGUGGCGUCCUAUACAUAGCUCAUGAGGGUUGGGAGAUGAGGAUUCAUGAACAGAUUUAGACACUGAGUGAUUAAUGACAAUAUGAAAUUAUGGAUUUUUAUAGACUUGACAAUGUGCUUGUUUAACCAUUGAGGCCUUCUCUUCUGCCUCUACCCACCACUUACAGGACUUCAAGAAAAUGAAUCAAGCACAUUAAAAAGCAGCUUAGUAACUGUGACUGAUUGGAGCGACACUUCAGAUGUCUAAUUCCACAUGUCAGAAGAUUAUUCCAGAAGCCAGCAGUAUUUCAGUAUCACAGUGUUUCAGUAAUUUGCCUCCAUGAUUCUAGUGCUUCUGCCUUACCGUGUUUCCCACAGCAACACAGAGACUGAUUCAAAGAACAAUGGUCUCUUUAAUGGCACCCAAUACAGUAUUGAAAAUCAGAUCAUCAACAGUAUUUCGAAGCAUGUAAAGGUGUUUAAGACUUCCGCUGCUGCUUAAAAAUAACAUGUCAUUGAAGUCAUAAAAAGUUUUUUCUUCAGAAAGGUACUCUAGUGUUAAGUGUAUUUUUUUCAACUAAUUUUUUAGUGAAUUUUUUUUAAACUUACAGCAUGUUUUGGUUUGAAUUACUAAAACUUUAAAAAAUAUUUUUCUUAUGUAUGCUGUCGUAUCGUAGGCGUUUAUAUUAUAAAAUUCUGUUAGUAGUCUUAAAAUUGAAUUGGUGGAACCACUAAUCCUUAAAAGUUAGUCUGGUUAUUUUUCAUAUAGAAGUAAGUUUAAUCCGAGUGUGGUGGUGUUCACCUUUAAUCCCAGCUACUUGGGAGGCUGAGGUGGGAGGAUAACUUGAGCACAGGAGUUCAAGACCAGCGUGGGCAAUAUAGCAAGACUCCACCCCUCCACACCCCAAAAAAGUAAGUUUAGGAUUAGAAUAUAGCUAGGUCCAAUGUUAAAUACAUUUUCCUGGAGUACAUUUGUCACAUUCAGCUUUGAGCCACUGUAAGCAUGUUACUAUUAAAUGGUUGGUUAUUUUAUAUAGCAUAUUCUUUAUCUUGGAUAUUUUAUGAAUAAAGUAUAGUUAUUUUAAGUGCCAAUUAAUUUAUCAGACUAAAUAGAAAAUAUUUGAGCCAUUACUGAAUUCACAUAUGUAUGUUUUUUUUUACUAUUUAAAAUACCCAACAUGUAUUAUGAAAUACCUCAAAAGUAAUUUAGUUACAUUCUUAAACAAUGACAUUGUCGAAAGAAAGUUCUUAUAAGCUGUUUUUUGCAUUUUUAUAACUUGGUUAUACUAUAUUCUGUUUCCAAGUAACCUUUUAACUAAAAGAUUUGUUGGGUUUUAGAUCUCUUUUCAUUUGUCAACCUUUUCAGUAAAGCCCUCUGUUACAUC
rnacentral:lncRNA from 1 species